rnacentral:rRNA from 1 species
CUGGUGUUCGGGUUGUGAUGCCAAUUGCAUUGCCCGGUAGCUACGUGCGGAAUAGAUAAGUGCUGAAAGCAUCUAAGUACGAAACUAGCCCUGAGAUGAGUUUUCCCUGAAGAGAUUCAGUAAGGUCCGUUUGAGACUAAGACGUAGAUAGGUCAGGUGUGUAAGUGUAGUGAUACAUUGAGCUAACUGAUACUAAUGAACCGAGAGUCUUAACCUUACAAC